UAGGGUCGCAGGUGACAUGGUCACUU
rnacentral:piRNA from 1 species